rnacentral:lncRNA from 1 species
GAGUUCCAAAGUCCUGGCUAAACGGGAGCUGCUCUACGUGCCGCUCAUCGGCUGGACGUGGUACUUCCUGGAGAUCGUGUUCUGCAAACGGAAGUGGGAGGAGGACCGGGACACUGUGGUCGAAGGACUGAAGCGCCUGGCCGACUACCCGGAGUACAUGUGGUUCCUCCUGUACUGCGAGGGCACGCGCUUCACGGAGAAGAAGCACCGCGUCAGCAUGGAGGUGGCCGCCUCCAAGGGGCUGCCCCCCCUCAAGUACCACCUGCUGCCUCGGACCAAGGGCUUCACCACCGCGGUCCAGUGCCUCCGCGGGACAGUCGCAGCUGUCUACGAUGUCACGCUGAAUUUCCGAGGAAACAAGAACCCGUCUCUGCUGGGGAUCCUCUACGGGAAGAAGUACGAGGCCGACAUGUGUGUGAGGAGGUUUCCUCUGGAAGAGAUCCCGCUGGACGAGAAGGAAGCGGCCCAGUGGCUUCAUAAACUGUACCAGGAGAAGGAUGCGCUGCAGGAGAUGUAUCACCAGAAGGGCGUGUUUCCAGGGCAGCAGUUCAAGCCCGCCCGACGGCCGUGGACGCUCCUCAACUUCCUCGCCUGGGCCACCGUGCUCCUGUCUCCUCUCUUCAGUUUUGCCUUGGGCGUCUUUGCCGGCGGCUCCCCGCUCCUGAUCCUGACGUUCCUGGGGUUUGUGGGGGCAGCUUCCUUUGGAGUCCGGCGACUAAUAGGAGUGACUGAGAUAGAAAAAGGCUCCAGCUAUGGAAACCAGGAAUUUAAGAAAAAGGAGUAAUUAAUGGCUGUGACUGAACACACGUAACCUGACGAUGGCAUCCCGUUAACUCAAUUAAAAGCAGAACAACACACACAGAGCGGGGGAAAAAGACACUUAGAAACUAUUUUUCAUAUUAACUGGUGACUAAUAUUGACAAUAAAACUUGAGCCAAGAGUAAAGCAGUCGGAAGGCCUGCAGAUGGAGACGCCAGCCUCGCCCCUGCGCCGGCCGGGCGGGCGGGCCGGGCCCCGGGGCGCUUGGCUGGCACCUUCGCUUCCAGGCGGGCAGGGCCCUGGGGAAGUUCUCCAGCAACAAGCACACUGAGCGGCUGGCGGCCCCACUCGCCCGCCCGCUCCUAGUUUCCAGAGCCUCUUCCUACCUGAGCCUGCGGAGACCCCUCAACCCCCUCCCUGGCCUCCGCCCCCUCACUCCCUGCGGGAGGCUGUCACACCCCAGUCACCCUCCCCAGCAGGCUGGAGCCGGAGCGGGAGCCUCGGCCACAGCCCACAGGACCACUGGGUGCUUUGGAAAAGCAAUGUCACCGUCACCUCGUCUUCUAAAGGUGGCUGGAGAUGGGUAGCUCUCUGCUUUGAGAGGUUCUGUUUUCACGGUGGAUCUGUCGAUGGCGCUCGCCUUCCUGGUGGAAACCAGAGGUGCUGUGCCCGCCCCGCCUCCGCCCCCUCCCUUCUGAGCAGGUGCACGUGUCCCUGGGGGGACCGGUGGCCUCUGUCAGCGCCUCCCGGCUGCAGGGUGGCCCCAGGCUCCCGUGGCCUGUGCUCAGCUCACGUCCACACAGCAAGCAUCCCGCUGACUGGGGCUGACUGGCAGAGAGGGGCACUCCCGGGGCUCCGGCUCCCGCUCCGCCGCCCUUUCCUCUGUAACCCGCGGCACUGGACUUUCUUCUUAAACUUUCAACUUGCUUUUGUAAAGUCACACUCCCCGAAUCUUUUUUAGCCAGGGAAGGAAACGAGCGGGCGUUAUUCUCUCUGAUGCACUGUAAGCAGCGUUCAGCACAGGGGCGGGUCGAAUUUUCUAGGGGGCGAAAUGGAAGGAAGAGGCAUGACGACCACCCGGGACCCAGUCAUGCCCCGGCCCUCAGGACGCGUUCUGGGGAGACCUGUGGAAUCAGCACGUGCCCUUUAUACCGACGACACUACUGAAUUCUCUGCGGGCGACCUUGGUGAAGGGACCCAGGUCACAGGGAAGCGAGCCACAGUCCUGUGCUUGCUCACGAGUGUGGUAAAUGCACGCCACUCCUGUGAGGUCCACGGUUAAAACAGCUUUGAGGAUUUUCCUCGAGGCGGGCUUCCCUCCACCUCAAAGCAUGUCCCCAACCCCCCUGCCGUGGGCAGCAGAGCCCAGGCCGGAAGGCGGCGCCUCGGCUACCUGAGGUCUUAUGUUCCUUCACCCAACACGCUGCUCAUCCGUCUCUCUGUGUUUAUGUCACUUGCUAAUUCACUAACCCCGAAAAAGCUUAAAGGAAAAAGUCGAAGGGUCCUAAAUACUGUGAAGCUACGUUACCUGGAAAAUGCAAAUUUAGAUCUUUUACUAUUUAAUUAAUAGUUCUUGCUUCCCAGCUAAGUUCCCUCCCCUCGAAAUGAAUACCCAAUGUAUACAUUCUAUGUUGGGGCGAUGAGCUGGGAAGAUGCUAGGUGAGCGAUUGAGCCCGGGGGUAGGUUUUAAAUCUCAGCGACUUCCUCCUGAUUUAACACAGAUUAGCUUGUGCAUCUGAAUACCAAGCCCUUUGAGAGCAAUAAAAGUUACACCAUGAAUGUUUGGGGGCUUUUUUUUUGGUUUUUUUUUUUGAGGGGUGGAUUUUGCUUUUCAUCCACUUCAGAAAGAGAGGGGGAGGGGAGCUCCUUGCAGUUUUUAAAUCAAUAAAUCCCGGAACAGUGCUUAUUUCUCUUCCACGACCCCGUUACUGCCGCUGUUGUCACCCCAAAUUCAGGCUGAGUGUGGGGGCGGUGGUGCCGGCCAUGGCUGGGGAGAGCGUGCUCUGGAUUCAAGUCCACGCUAGGUCCUGGGUCCAACAAGGGCAAGGAGUCUGGGUGUUGGCUGAGCUUCUCUGCAGGGGGCGGGGCCUGCUGACCCCAGCAGGAAGGCGUAGCCUCCAGAGCCAGACCCCCUCCCGCUGGAGAGACACGAAGGGCAGCCCCAGGCCUUGGGCCCCUCCCGCGAGUGCCUGUGCCGAGGGAGGCUGAGUUCUGGGCCCAGGGCCCGCUGGCCACGUGUUUCUCAGCUCAGGUGCCAGGGCUCACAUGCUUUGUCGCUUUCCGCAGGUAUCCUGGAGGGCCUGGCAAGUAGUUUGGGUUGGGAGCCCUCCGCCUGUGUCCAGCAGUCCCCUCUGGGGCGCUCCUGGGGUGUCUAAGGUGCCUGUGGCAUUUCAUGGUGCCCUUGUGGCAGCCACCACCACCUGGGAAGCUUCUGUCCCCUCCCCCCUGCCCCUGCCGUGGGUCUUUCUGACGCGUGGUGAGCAGGGCCCAGCUCCACUCUGUGCAGGUGAGCAGACACGGGGGCAGGCUUACCUGGUCGCUUUUAACCCCAGAAGAAGUGCCGCAGGUCACCGGGCGCGUGGUGACAGUGUGCAGGGAACAGGGCCUUGUCUGCGCCCGCAGCCCCGUCCUUGAGAGGCACAGUCAGGUGGGAAGAUGGCUCUGAAGGUACAAACGGCUCAAUGAGAGCAGGGGUCAGUGGCGUGGGCCGCUGUCGCGGAGGGCCGGGCGGUGGGGUCCCCGGCCGGUCUGGCAGCCCCACCGUGUUUGCCCGUCGCCCGUGCGCACCUGGUCGAGCUCGUCCCCGCGCUGACACUGGCGUGGUAGCACGCGUGCGCGGAGGUCGUCUGGAAGAAAAGCGUGUGUGUCGUCCCCAGGCUGUCCCCGCCCCACGGCCUCACUUGUGCCCGAACUGGGGUGAGGAGUUAGUGACUCUCUGCAUGCUGCGUGUCCCUGCCCAGGACACCUAUGGGACAUGCCAAGUAGAAUCUUUCAGCCCAAAGGACUUCUGGCUGAAUUGUUCAACCCCGGGUGUGAACUCGUGCUGCAAAUCUCUCGCCGGCAUCUGCAUGCAGCCCUGGCAUGCGACACAGCGGUCAGUGGUGCCCUUUUGGCUUCUAAGCCUCCGCAGGGCAACCGGGCUGAGGGUUAAGACNNNNNNNNNNNNNNNNNNNNNNNNNNNNNNNNNNNNNNNNNNNNNNNNNNNNNNNNNNNNNCCGGGUGCCUGCCCCUCACUCUCGUGGGUUAGCGUCCAAGGCAAAGCGCCUGGGCCUGGCCGGUGGAGCUGGCCACGCCACCGACACGGCCCCGAAUGCGAGUGGUGCGUCAGGGUGCCUGUGGACUUUCUCGCGGGUUCCACAUCCUUGCAGGUCGGGACCAGGACGCAAAAGCACGGGGCCUCUCGGGGGCCAGGAGACGUCCCACUGGGUCCCGCCUGACUGAGGGGCGGCGCCGGUGAACCAAGUUUACCGCGCGCAUUGGCUGUGAGCCAACUCAGGGGAAGUGGUUGGCAGUCCCCACAACCCUGGGGACACAACUGGACAAGAGCACUUUAGAGAACCCAGCGAAUCACAGAGCAGUGGUCCCUGGUCAGCCGGGCAGUGGCCACCUACUCCUUUCAAAAACAAUCGAAUCGCUUUAAAAUUUCAAGCUGUGCAAUGACGCGGUUCACUUGGAGUUUUCUUUUCCCGUCAACGCCUGCGUUUCUUACCCUUUUCGCUGCAAGAGGAUCUGGACAGAAGUCCGACUGUGAAUGAGAAGCUGAAACGCCCUCAGUCCUAUUGAACUGGAGUUACUCGAUGCCACGAAGCAAUGCACUUGGUCGGCUGUCUGAGGCUGUACGUUCUGACAAUCAAAUGUCACCUGCCUAAACGCCAGGAGCUUCCGCCGGCUUCUCAGUCCUCGCGAUGGCCAGCAAGCUCGGUUAACCGCGCGCGGACGUAUCUCUUUGGGAAGCACACAAACCACGCACCCCGUGUGCAGCGCGGCUGUCGCGGUUCGCUUUCUAUUCUUGAUCCUCUGCCUCCUACCUGCCCGUUGGCCGGCUUCGAGGGUGAUGAGUCGUCUACAGGGUGCAAAUGUGUAUUAUACGGAUGCUUCCUUUUGUACACUUCAUUUUUACAAUUUUGCUACAGCUUUGUGUCGUCAAGGAGAGCGCUAUUUUUGGUCGUAGGAGCUGGUGGGGGGGCGGGGAGAGCGCAUGUAGGCUCUCAAAGCCUGAGUCCCGGAAAACCCGCCGCGUUUGCCCAGCGCCGCGAAGGUCCCUUUGUACCCGGCGUGCUCGAACGGCCCCAGCAGCAGCAGCAUCUUCUCCAUAAAAUGCUUAUUGCAGUUGCCGCCGUGAGAGAGAGGGGUAAACGGUCCACGCUGUCAGAGAAAGCGGCCACCAGCCGCCUCUUGUCGCCCGGCUUCUGGUCGCAGAGGGUUUUCCCCGGGGGAGGAAGGACUUCCAGGCACUUCCUGGCGGGAGGGGCCGGGUCCGAGCCGCCCAGACUUUCUCGGCGGCUGACCUGCUGAUUCCCAGGCUGCUCUGGUCCCGUAAGUUGCUUUCGGAAGGGAAAUUGAGAAGGAGAGCCACCGUCGGGCAAAGGCGAGGGACAGAGUCGGCCGGAGCCCAGAGCAUACGCUCGGGGCCCUGUGCCUCAAAACGGGUCUUCAAAGCCAUCACGGACAAAAGCUGUUCCAAUGCAGGCAUGUAUAUAUCAAAAACUAUUUUUUUGUAAAAAUGAAUUCAUUCUGUGCAGAAAAACCCAGGAACCCUGUUUCUUCUUUAUAAGGAAAAGAACUCUUGUGAGAACCAAGAGCUAACUCCAGGGUCUGAUGUGUCGGUCUUGUGAAAAUAAACUGAGC